rnacentral:misc_RNA from 1 species
ACAAACUUGGUCAUUUAGAGGAAGUAAAAGUCGUAACAAGGUCUCCGUUGGUGAACCAGCGGAGGGAUCAUUACCGAGUUAUUAAACUCCAAACCCAUUGUGAACAUUACCAAAGUUGCCUCGGCGGGAAAGCCUACCCGGUAGCUACCCUAUAGUAGCAUAUCCGGGAGCUACCCUGUAGCUAGGGCGACCCGCCGGCGGACCAACCAAACUCUGUUUUUACGUGGCAUUCUGAGUAAAAUAAACAAAUAAGUUAAAACUUUCAACAACGGAUCUCUUGGUUCUGGCAUCGAUGAAGAACGCAGC